GCCGGGGUGGAGGAACACAGUCCUGCUGGGUGGGGAGGGCCUCUCACCUCUUGUCUUAAUCCCUCCUGCUGUGGAGGUGGGAGAAGCAAUGCUGGGGUGUGUGUGUUUUCACUGGUGUCAGUGUCUGUGUAAGUAAGUGUGUACCUCUGCAUGAGUGUGUACAUAUUUACGUUUGUGUUCUCACUCUCACGUGUCACCAUGGGUGCGCAUGAAGUCUGUGGAGCUGUAACGCGCUACUGGCCCAGCCCCCCUUUUCAUUUGGGCAUGAAGGUGAUGGGAAAUAUCUCUUUUCUGUCCCACUGGAGCAGGACGGGAUGGGGUGAGACUCUAGCAAACUUCCGUUUGGAUGAAUUCAAGGUGGACACGCCACUGUCCACAGUGGGAGAGACUUAGCAUCAACGCAAAGAUGAACUUCCAGCAGGGAAGGGCUGUUUGGCCCGAAGAAGGAAUGACGGAUGUGGUAUCAUUCUUCCCCAUCCCUACCCCCACCUUGCUAGAUAAAUGAAAACUCUGGAGUCCAUGAGGGUGUGGGGUGGGGGAGUGUGGGGAGGCCAGGUGGAGGCGGGGCGGGGGAGGUGGAAUCAUCCAAAGUUGUCUGGUCCUGGACUCUGAAGGCCAUGCCAGUUUCCAGCCUGUUCCUGUGCUGCAGGAUGAGGGUCCAUCCUCUGGGCACCCAGCACAGGUUUUCCCAAAGACACGCAGGGACUGGCAGCUCCCAAUUAGCCGGGCCCAGUGAUGUCAGUGCUACUCUCCUAGGUGGCUGCGCCCACUCUGAUCGGCCUUGGCAGGGAUGCCCGACCAUUACCUUCCCCUCUGGGUGGGGGGGUGCCAAGGGGGCUGCAUACAGGACAGAGGCCAGGCCCCCUCCCUCUGAACCCCCCAACCU
rnacentral:lncRNA from 10 species